GGAUAAUGCAAGUGUUUAACAGAUGCUUCACUAUUAAAAUAUUUUCCCCCCAAGUCUCAAAUAUUGAAGAAUCUCUAACCAGGCUCGAAACGCCGGUCUCAGUGACUAUUGAGUUACCCACCAAGUUACCCCGGUUAGAGCUGUUUGGGGUGGCUCACGUUAUUGCGGCAAACUUUGGAGAUGACGGCUGAGUCCUCUGGGCGAACAUGUCAAGCCGAUUGUAAAUGCUGUUAUUUCCACAUCCUUCAGGGACACCAGUCCCAACGAAGACCUUGGGCGAUUUCAAAGUGCGGGCACCUCGAUUCCCCGAAUCUGUAGUGUGGCUGGUAUCGGUGUUUCCCUGGUUUAACUAGCCUGCUUGAAGGCGCAGAUCAUUCAUGGGGAAGUAAAACCGAAACCAGUCCUCUCCACCCCCUGCGGGUCUUCACUUUCCCAGUCUACAUCUGCCUGUGACUCCAGAAAGACAAACUGCAGAUUGGCCAAGUGCCUUUCAAAUUGUUUUUUACUGGAUGAAGAAACUCAACCAAGAAAAUAUAUGUCAAUUCUUGUAUAUGGGACAAUAUUAGCUGCUGUGAUUUUUAAUACUAGCAUAAAAUAUAAGAAUGUUUUUAUUACUGUGACAUUGUUUUUUUCUAAAUGAAUGCAUAGUGUAACAAUUGGUGUCAAAAAGCAUUGAAUUUUUUUCAAAUGGAUUAAGCUGGAAUAAUAAAGUGUAUCUAUGAGAUGAUUUCUGUAAACUCUGACUUGCUGAGAAAAAAGUGAAAAAGCUUUUUCUGGAAGAAACAUGGCAACUUAACCAUUAUUAAUCUGGACUAAAUAAAACAGGAAACUGCUUCUUUA
rnacentral:antisense_RNA from 1 species